rnacentral:lncRNA from 1 species
AAAUACCCUGAUAAGCGCAUCUUCAACAACCUGAUCAAUUCAAUUUAGGUACAGUUAUUGGGAAUUCAAGUCAGUCUCCAAUAGUCUCUAUAUGUAUCUUUGCAAUAUGCAUGUUAUUAUAAAAAUACAUAUUUAUUUUCUGUGGAAGUUCUGAAUUUUAAGCCACAGGGGAUUAAACAAGAAAACAGGGUAAUAGUAACUAGCGAAGCAAUUUUGUUGCUCCUAAAGAAUCAUUGAUACAAUUAACCAUUGGUGAGUAUACCUUGUCAGGAGUAGAUGCCCCGGAAGUUACACCUAUUGUGAUAGGACCUUCUGGUAGCCAGUUUUCUUUCUCGACCAGCUCCCCGUGCUGUUACAAUGAAAUCAAAUAAUCAUCAUAAUACUCUCUUUUUUCUCUUCGUUAUAUAAAUUCUUUUAACAAAAUAGAAAGCAGGCAGUAGAUCAAGAAUCAGGGAAUAGCUUGCACAGACUUACCAUUAGCUUGUGACUUAUUCUAUUUCCAGGACCAAUUCUCUUCUCACUGUCAAUCCAAUAUGAUGGGAUUCCACGUUCCUCUGCAAUUUCUUGUAGAUGUGAUGUGUUGCUUGAGUUCCAUCCCCCAACCACUAACAUAAGAUCAAGCUUUUCAUCCACCAGUUUAUACAUGGCAUCUUGCCUCUCCUACAUAGAUGUUGGUAUGCGAUGAAUAUAAUUAGUGCCACAAAUCUUGGAUUAUGUGUGCGGGAGUAGGAGAGUGGCGCACAAAGCUUGCAACUAAUAUACAAAAUCCUAGGUAAAGAGGUUAAUUACUUGUGUAGCGUCACAAAUAGUAUUGAAACUCAUGAAGUGGUUGUUGACAUUUUCAACUCCAUAUUUUCGCAUCAUAGUCCUCUCUACUAAUUUCCCUGUAUUUGAAAAACACUAGAAAUAUCACAUGAAGGCAAUAGAUUAAACAAAUGGUAAGAUGAUUUAAAACUAAAACAGAACUAACCGAUUUCCUCUGUUUCUCCCUUCAGCAUGGUAGUUUGAUUGGCAAUUCCAAGUUUCACAAGGUCAAUAUCCGGAUCAAAUCCCUUAGAUACAGCAUAUUUAAAUUUCUGAAGACAAACCAUACAAUGUCUAAUUAGAGUAUAAACUAUAAAAGAAACACUAAGGUCUAUAAAAAAUUGAAUGUCUAUACCUCCAUGAAUGCUUCUUUGGUUGAACUGGACCCGUCAAGUUGUCCUCCAAGGAUGUAAUCACAUACAUAUGUUGCCUAAUUAAUAAAAAGUUAAAUUAAAAUUAAAAUUAGAGUAAAAUCUCAUUGUAUUUUCUGUACAUUGUCAUCUGUCCAUGACGAAAAUAAUGAGGAAGGGUGUUAUUUAAGAUAUACAUACUUCUGCCAUGUUCUUCACAAUGAUAUAUGUUCCUGCAAAAGAUGCAGUAGCUACGGUCUCUUCAUGGGAAUAUUUACCGUGGAUGAUGGAACUGUACUCUCCCUUCUUGUGCUUUUCAACAGUAUUCCAUACCUGUCUUGUGAACACAUAUACUCAUGAGAAGGAAUGUAUUAGAUAUAUAAGAAUCAGAGGCAAGGAGAUCAUGUUAACCACGGCAUUGCAUGCAAAUAAUACCUUAGACACCCAGGGGCAUGUAGUGUCAACUAUCUGUACAUUUUUGUCAUUCAAGACCAUCAUUUCAUCCACAGCAGCUCCAAAAGCAGGCAAAAUCACAACAUCACCCUUGUCAAUAACAUCAAAUUGCUUCUUGCCAUCCGUGAUUGGGAUAUCUUUUACUUCCAUAUCCUCUAACCGCUAGGAUAACAAACACAGUCUUUGACUCGUCAUUAUGAAUAGUUGAAAACGUAAGGGUAUAAUAAGAAAAGAUUAAACAAAAAGGUAGCACAUUUUUGAAUCCUAAUAUAUAUGUGGAUGCAUAAGUUUACCAGGAGAUUUUUUGAAGUGUGAACAUUACAUGUAUUAACAGUAACUAGUUGAGCAACAACUAAAAUAAUUAAUCAAUGAGAAAAUUAUGUGUUUUUUUGUUUUCCUUUUUCCUCCCCUAAUAAUUGGCUCAAAAAUUUUAUUUCAAUAAACACCAUCUAACAGUAAAAAAUGCAUUGGUUCAUUUAUCAUAAGAUAAAUCAACCAAAUUUCUUCACAUCCUAAACCAGAUUAUUGACCCCAAACGAAUAUCAUGUACGUAACAUUGCACGUAACUUGCCGCAUUUUUGGGUCUAGCAUUUAAACAUGUUUAUGAGCAGCACGCAGAGAGAACUGUAACUAGCUACUUGCAGGUGAAGUCAAGUACCCAAAAAGGCACAUUUACAAAUAUAUGGAAAUAUCCAAGCAUCCACUUUACGACAGAAACCAAGAUCACAUCCCGCAAAAAUGACACACCACUACAGAUAAAAGCAAAUUGUGAAAACAAGCCUGGGGUUCGGGCUUUCAACAUGACGGUCAAACAAGUGACCCUUAGACGAUGUGGUAGCAUGUAGCAGGUAGCCAGUAUCCUGCCUAAUAAUUACUUAAUGUAUUAAUUUGAUUGAUUAUGGAGGUAGAUCACUCCUGAAGAAAAUACUAAGCCAUUAUUUGUACCAAAACUCAGUACUGAAGUGCAAAAAGGACCGGUCACCUCGACUAAUAAAUAAUCUGUGAUGAAAUACUAUUGUAAAAACUCAUUGCCUCUAGCCAAAUAGAAUGAUACUCAUAGGUACUAAAAUGUUAGCGAAUAAAUCCGCUUACCAGACUAUGUGAUCUGUAUAAUAUCCUGUGGCACAAUAACACUGCACCUUUAAAGUUAUCAUUAUUUUUUAGCGAUAGGGCUGUAAUGAGCUAAUACCCUCACAAACAGCUGGGUGUUCGCCUCGAAAAGAGCUCUGUUCGGGUGUGGUUCGAUUUAUUAACGAGUAAAACUUGAAUGCAAUAUUAUAGAUCGAUUUAUUAACAAGCCAAACAUAAUCACGGUAUAUUUCGGCUCGAUAGUUCAUAAUUAAGAUCGUUAAUAUGUUCGUGAGAAAAGUUCGUUAACUUGCUCAUGAACAAGCAUGUGAAAAAGUUCGAUUAGUAAGUUUGUGAACAUGCUCACAA